UAGGGAAUAUUAGAAAUGGACGAAAGUCUGACCUAGCAACACCGCGUGUGCGAAGAAGGCCUUCGGGUUGUAAAGCACUUUUUGGAAGGAUUAGGAAGGAAUGUACUUCCAGAAUAAGUCUCGGCUAACUACGUGCCAGCAGCCGCGGUAACACGUAGGAGGCGAACGUUAUCCGGAUUUACUGGGCGUAAAGCGCGUGUAGGUGGUUCUGUAAGUAGGGCGUGAAAGCUCCUGGCUCAACUGGGAGAGGCCGUUCUAAACUACAGAACUAGAGGAUGGUAGAGGGAGGUGGAAUUCCAGGUGGAGCGGUUGAAUGCGCAGAUAUCUGGAGGAACACCAGUGGCGAAGGCGGCCUCCUGGACCACUCCUGACACUCAGACGCGAAAGCUAGGGUAGCAAACG
rnacentral:rRNA from 1 species